rnacentral:rRNA from 1 species
UACGGAGGAGGCAAGCGUUAAUCGGAAUUACUGGGCGUAAAGCGUGCGCAGGCGGUUUUGUAAGUCUGUCGUGAAAGCCCCGGGCUCAACCUGGGAAUUGCGAUGGAGACUGCAAGGCUUGAAUCUGGCAGAGGGGGGUAGAAUUCCACGUGUAGCAGUGAAAUGCGUAGAGAUGUGGAGGAACACCGAUGGCGAAGGCAGCCCCCUGGGUCAAGAUUGACGCUCAUGCACGAAAGCGUGGGGAGCAAACAGG